GUCCAUUCGAGAACAUCUGAUAAAAUUGGAACGAUAAAGAGAAAAUUAGCAUUACUCCUGCGCAAGGAUGACAUGCACAAAUUGAGAAAUUGUCCAAUUUUUU